CUACGUGCCAGCAGCCGCGGUAAUACGGAGGGUGCGAGCGUUAAUCGGAAUAACUGGGCGUAAAGGGCACGCAGGCGGUGACUUAAGUGAGGUGUGAAAGCCCCGGGCUUAACCUGGGAAUUGCAUUUCAUACUGGGUCGCUAGAGUACUUUAGGGAGGGGUAGAAUUCCACGUGUAGCAGUGAAAUGCGUAGAGAUGUGGAGGAAUACCGAUGGCGAAGGCAGCCUCCUGGGAUAACACUGACGUUCAUGCUCGAAAGCGUGGGUAGCAAACAGGAUUAGAUACCCUGGUAGUCCACGCUGUAAACGAUGUCGACUUGGAGGUUGUUCCCUUGAGGAGUGGCUUCCGGAGCUAACGCGUUAAGUCGACCGCCUGGGGAGUACGGCCGCAAGGUUAAAACUCAAAUGAAUUGACGGGGGCCCGCACAAGCGGUGGAGCAUGUGGUUUAAUUCGAUGCAACGCGAAGAACCUUACCUACUCUUGACAUCCAGA
rnacentral:rRNA from 1 species